rnacentral:rRNA from 1 species
UACGUAGGGUGCAAGCGUUAAUCGGAAUUACUGGGCGUAAAGCGUGCGCAGGCGGUUUUGUAAGUCUGUCGUGAAAUCCCCCGGGCUCAACCUGGGAAUUGCGAUGGAGACUGCAAGGCUAGAAUCUGGCAGAGGGGGGGUAGAAUUCCACGUGUAGCAGUGAAAUGCGUAGAGAUGGUGGAGGAACACCGAUGGCGAAGGCAACUCCCCUGGGCCU